rnacentral:rRNA from 1 species
CCUACGUGUGGCAGCAGUAGGGAAUCUUCCACAAUGGGCGAAAGCCUGAUGGAGCAACGCCGCGUGGGUGAAGAAGGUCUUCGGAUCGUAAAACCCUGUUGUUAGAGAAGCAAGUGCGUGAGAGUAACUGUUCACGUUUCGACGGUAUCUAACCAGAAAGCCACGGCUUACUACGUGCCAGCAGCCGCGGGAAUACGUAGGUGGCAAGCGUUAUCCGGAUUUAUUGGGCGUAAAGGGAACGCAGGCGGUCUUUUAUGUCUGAUGUGAAAGCCUUCGGCUUAACCGUUGUAGUUGAGUGGAAACUGGGAGACUUGAGUACAGAAGAGGAGAGUGGAAUUCCAGGUGGAGCGGUG